rnacentral:lncRNA from 1 species
GUCCCCAGCAUCCUGGCCGCCCCCGGGACAUCGGUGUGGAGGGUACGAGCGUCCACCCCCGGGGCAGUGAAAUUACGGGUGCCCUGAAGCCUUUUGUCUCGCCUUCGGGAGAAAAUCGCGCUACAACAGUCCGCGCUAAAGGUGGACCCUACGUAGUGAUCGGGAAGGCGAUUCACACUUGUUUCAUGCAAGAUUGGCUCUUCUGGGUUUGGUUUUGGUUUUGGUUUUUUUUUUGUUUUUUUUUUGUUUUUUUUUUUUUGUCGGUUUGGUUGGGGUUUGGAUGCUGCAUUUGAUUAUUACUCAUUAUCCAUGGUUUCUUUUCGAAUCAGUGACACAGCUUCAAGUCUGAAUAAUUAUUAUUUACAGUUCUGGAAAGAGGUGCAUGAGACGUCCAAAUGAUCCCCGGUUAUGGAAUUGGAAACCUUCCUUUCCGUAGGCGUACAGGUACAUAUAUGAAGCCAGCAACGAUCUGAAACCCAGCAGGAGAAAAACAACGUGUAAAGACACCAUGGAUAACCACAAGGUCUUUUGUGGCUUGAUCAUCUUUCUUCAGAUCGCCGACCUACCGCGGGGAUCUACCCACAAUUUCAGCCUCUGUAACCACUACCAGAUACAAGAAGAUUUCCAAAACCUUUCGGAUCUAGAGAGGACCUUUACAAAAGAGGUUGGUGGUUUCUCCGGUGGCAUCGGAGGGAAACUGUCGGGAGGGCACUGCCUCUACGAUUUCACCCUUGACCGCCGGCAACUACUUUCUGAAAAUCUCGAUUAGCAAGCCGGGAGUUGGCUAGUGUAGCAGUAAACCGGUGCCUGUGAAACAGGACGGGGAACUUUUCUCCAACUCUCCUCCGGCGACCUUCCUAAAACGUGCUUUCGCCGGAGCUGGGACUGGCCGGGACGGAGCUACCCGACCCUUCCCGGCGCCUUGCAGACCCCUAGGACUGAAAGAUGAAGAUGGUGUCGCGGCUGCAAAGGUGAUGAGCGGUUUAGAAGCUGCGCGGAUGGUCCCGACGCUUAGCGGAAAGAUGAGGCGGCGGCGGCGGCUUUCGGGA